rnacentral:rRNA from 1 species
UUCCGGUUGAUCCCGCCGGAGGUUACUGCUAUCGGUGUUCGCCUAAGCCAUGCGAGUCAUAUGUUCUUCGUGAACAUGGCGUACUGCUCAGUAACACGUGGAUAACCUGCCCUUGGGUCCGGCAUAACCCCGGGAAACUGGGGAUAAUUCCGGAUAACGCACAUAUGCUGGAAUGCUUUAUGCGUAAAAUGGAUUCGUCUGCCCAAGGAUGGGUCUGCGGCCUAUCAGGUAGUAGUGGGUGUAAUGUACCUACUAGCCUACAACGGGUACGGGUUGUGAGAGCAAGAGCCCGGAGAUGGAUUCUGAGACAUGAAUCCAGGCCCUACGGGGCGCAGCAGGCGCGAAAACUUUACAAUGCGGGAAACCGUGAUAAGGGGACACCGAGUGCUAGCAUCAUAUGCUGGCUGUCCAGGUGUGUAAAAUACACCUGUUAGCAAGGGCCGGGCAAGACCGGUGCCAGCCGCCGCGGUAACACCGGCGGCCCGAGUGGUGAUCGUGAUUAUUGGGUCUAAAGGGUCCGUAGCCGGUUUGGUCAGUCCUCCGGGAAAUCUGACAGCUCAACUGUUAGGCUUUCGGGGGAUACUGCCAGACUUGGAACCGGGAGAGGUAAGAGGUACUACAGGGGUAGGAGUGAAAUCUUGUAAUCCCUGUGGGACCACCUGUGGCGAAGGCGUCUUACCAGAACGGGUUCGACGGUGAGGGACGAAAGCUGGGGGCACGAACCGGAUUAGAUACCCGGGUAGUCCCAGCCGUAAACGAUGCUCGCUAGGUGUCAGGCAUGGCGCGACCGUGUCUGGUGCCGCAGGGAAGCCGUGAAGCGAGCCACCUGGGAAGUACGGCCGCAAGGCUGAAACUUAAAGGAAUUGGCGGGGGAGCACAACAACGGGUGGAGCCUGCGGUUUAAUUGGAUUCAACGCCGGG